rnacentral:lncRNA from 1 species
UUAUAAUGUAUUAUAUACAUUAUAUAUAUACAUAAUAUUUUUUAAUGUAUUAUAUACAUUAUAUACAGUAAUAUUUAUAAUGUAUUAUAUAUAUACAGUAAUAUUUAUAAUGUAAUAUAUACAUUACAUAUACACAGUAAUAUUUAUAAAAGACGAUGUUAACUUUAUUUUAAAACAUUCAUUGCUGGUUUUAUAAUGAUCUGGAUUGUUGUGAUAUUAAUGUGAUGUUUUGUUGUCCCUGGUCGUGUAAAGAGACGUCUCUGUUCUGUCUUUUAGUCUGAAAGGGGGGGACGUACACUUGCUGCUGCUUACACUCGCCUCGUACACAAACACUCGCACGUUACACACACACACACACACACUCGUUCCCGAACACUUGUACACGCACGCAUACACACGUAUCCGGAGCACAAUUACAUUCCUGAAGAACGAAGUUUUCUCUUCAUUUUUUAAACAUUUUUCUCUCUAAAUGAAGACUCGACGUUUUAUUUUUAAUUUUUUUUGCUCAUCCAUGACCUUUCACCCCCUUAGGACACUAAUUUAAAAACAAUACCUGUUAUCAAUCUUGAUUUCAAACUUAUUGAAGCCAUGU